GAGAACAACAAGCUGGUAUAGUUCGUGGAACAAUUUUGAUACCAUGCAGGACAGCUCUGAAGGGAAGCUUUCCACUCAAUGGCACAUAUUUUCAAGUUAACGAGGUAUUUGCUGAUCACAAAUCUAGUUAUGACCCCAUUAUUGUUCCCAGAGAAUUGCUAUGGAACCUCGUAAAGAGGACUUUAUAUGUUGGGUCAUCAACAAAAUCAAUAUUUAGAGAUUUGUCAUUAAAGGAGAUUCACCAAAACUUUUGGACAGGUUUUACUUGUGUGAAAGCAUUCGAGCGAGGAACAGGUGCUCCAAAACCUCUUGCAAGGAGAUUCCACUG